CUUUCAGAAAUUCCACUCCUUGCAUCUUCAUUUUUUAGAAAACUUUCUGGAAUUCCAGCUUUAAAGUUGUGGAAAAAAAAGAGCAAGUUUCUUUUAUCUUUUCUGGGAUCUAAAGUCGAGUUUUCUUGACUUCAUUUGCUGCUCGUUCUUCAUUCUUGCUGGUUUUCUGUUGCUGUUUGGUUCUUGCUGCACUUUCUCAACUUCAGAGGCUUAUUUUUUGUUUUCUUUACUUAUUUGGUUCUGCUGGAAUAGGCUACCAAGAGCUUCAUCAUUGUAGUUUGCGGAUCUAACCACUAGUUGGUCAGAUCAGUAAAUUCCAAGGCCAUGGAAUGGAUUCAAAGUUCAGCAGAAAGAGGUUUAGGUUGAAGAUUUAGUUAUAUUUUGUUUUGAGUUAGCUUUUAGUAUAACUGAUUCUGGUUCUGUAUGCUUUUAGUAUAAAUAAAUUUGGUUUUGUAAGUAUUUAAAAAUAGUUGAGUCUAUUACCCCUAUGAGGAUUGUAAUUGGAAUGGCCAGUAAGUGUGAAAAGAAUCUUAUCAUGA